rnacentral:rRNA from 1 species
CCUACGUGUGGCAGCAGUGAGGAAUAUUGGUCAAUGGGCGCGAGCCUGAACCAGCCAAGUCGCGUGAGGGAAGACGGCCCUACGGGCUGUAAACCUCUUUUGCCGGGAAGCAACGGUCGCCACGUGUGACGCCACCGAGAGUACCCGGACUAAAAGCAUCGGCUAACUCCGUUCCAUCCGCCGCGGGAAUACGGAGGAUGCGAGCGUUAUCCGGAUUGAUUGGGUUUAAAGGGUGCGUAGGCGGAGCGUUAAGUCAGUGGUCAAAUUGAGGGGCUCAACCCUUGCACGCCAUGGAAACUGGCGCUCUUGAGUGGAAGAGAGGUAGGCGGAAUGCGUGGUGUAGCGGUGAAAUGCAUAGAUAGAACGCAGAACCCCGAUGGCGAAGGCAGCAUGCCGGCUUCCUACUGACGCUGAAGCACGAAAGCGUGGGGAUCGAACAGGAUUAGAUACCCCGGUAGUC